rnacentral:rRNA from 1 species
CGGGUGAGUAAUACAUCGGAACGUGCCCAGUCGUGGGGGAUAACUACUCGAAAGAGUAGCUAAUACCGCAUNCGAUCUGAGGAUGAAAGCGGGGGACCUUCGGGCCUCGCGCGAUUGGAGCGGCCGAUGGCAGAUUAGGUAGUUGGUGGGAUAAAAGCUUACCAAGCCGACGAUCUGUAGCUGGUCUGAGAGGACGACCAGCCACACUGGGACUGAGACACGGCCCAGACUCCUACGGGAGGCAGCAGUC